AUUGAACGCUGGCGGCAUGCUUUACACAUGCAAGUCGAACGGUAACAGGCCGCAAGGUGCUGACGAGUGGCGAACGGGUGAGUAAUGCAUCGGAACGUGCCCAGUCGUGGGGGAUAACUAUCCGAAAGGAUAGCUAAUACCGCAUACGAUCUGCGGAUGAAAGCGGGGGACCUUCGGGCCUCGCGCGAUUGGAGCGGCCGAUGUCAGAUUAGGUAGUUGGUGGGGUAAAGGCUCACCAAGCCAACGAUCUGUAGCUGGUCUGAGAGGACGACCAGCCACACUGGGACUGAGACACGGCCCAGACUCCUACGGGAGGCAGCAGUGGGGAAUUUUGGACAAUGGGCGCAAGCCUGAUCCAGCAAUGCCGCGUGCAGGAAGAAGGCCUUCGGGUUGUAAACUGCUUUUGUACGGAACGAAAUCCAGCUGGUUAAUACCCGGUUGGGAUGACGGUACUCAAAGAAUAAGCACCGGCUAACUUCGUGCCAGCCGCCGCCGUAA
rnacentral:rRNA from 1 species